AGCAGCCGCGGUAAUUCCAGCUCCAAUAGCGUAUAUUAAAGUUGUUGCAGUUAAAAAGCUCGUAGUUGAAUUUCGGGAUUGGCGCAUCGGUCGUGCCUCACGGGGUAUGAACUGGUGCAGUCAAUUUCUCACCUUCUGGAGAACCGCGAUGUCCUUAAUUGGGGUGCCGCGGGGAACCAGGACCUUUACUUUGAAAAAAAUUAGAGUGUUUAAAGCAGGCAUUUUUGCUUGAAUACAUUAGCAUGGAAUAAUAAAAUAGGACGGCAUGGUUCUAUUUUGUUGGUUUCUAGGACCACCGUAAUGAUUAAUAGGGAUAGUUGGGGGCAUUAGUAUUCAAUUGUCAGAGGUGAAAUUCUUGGAUUUAUUGAAGACUAACUACUGCGAAAGCAUUUGCCAAGGAUGUUUUCAUUAAUCAAGAACGAAAGUUAGGGGAUCGAAGACGAUCAGAUACCGUCGUAGUCUUAACCAUAAACUAUGCCGACUAGGAAUCAGACGAUGUUAAUUUUUAAUGACUCGUUUG
rnacentral:rRNA from 1 species